CCUACGGGUGGCAGCAGUGAGGAAUAUUGGUCAAUGGACGAGAGUCUGAACCAGCCAAGUAGCGUGAAGGAUGACUGCCCUAUGGGUUGUAAACUUCUUUUGUCUGGGAAUAAAAUGUUCCACGCGUGGGAUUCUGUAUGUACCAGAUGAAUAAGGAUCGGCUAACUCCGUGCCAGCAGCCGCGGUAAUACGGAGGAUACGAGCGUUAUCCGGAUUUAUUGGGUUUAAAGGGUGCGUAGGUGGAUUGUUAAGUCAGUUGUGAAAGUUUGCGGCUCAACCGUAAAAUUGCAGUUGAAACUGGCAUUCUUGAGUAAAGUAGAGGUGGGCGGAAUUCGUGGUGUAGCGGUGAAAGUCUUAGAU
rnacentral:rRNA from 1 species